GUACUUUGAUAGCGUGGAAAAUGCUCAAGAGCUUUUUAUCCUUGAAAAAUGUAUUUCUAUAGUCUUUUCAAAACCGAGAAUUGACAAAAUUGAGCUUUCAGAAGCAUAUUUGUGCAAGGUUAUAAAUAUCUGAAAAUAGAUGUGGAAUGGACAGCUGAACUGGGCCUGUAGAGUUGCUUUUAUGAUAAAGAGAAAGGUGUAGCACAGACACUACGUGUAAAAUACAGAUUUGAAUUAGUGUUGCCUAUUCUUUGCCUUUGCAGGCACAUCAGAGGGCUUUCAAAACAUGCACUUCUGGAAGUCCAUUGGGUGUCCUGCAAAGCAUUGCUGUUGGUAGGUCAUUGCUGUAGCAGCUUCUCAAGGGGAUCAUCGUCUGCUUUCCUCAGGGUUGGGUUUCACUUGGUCUCAUCUCAUGCUCAGGAGAGAUUGCCUGGAUGGCUGGGAUCAGGUAAACUGAUGCCCUGCUCUCCUAACCAGCAGCCCAGAUGUUUCUCUGCUUCUUUUGUGUCCCCUCUGCUGGAGGCAGGCUGCUGUUUGCCAGUUAUGCGUUUGAAUGGCUUGGUGUUGCAGCUCAGGGCACUGCAGGCUUGCCUGGAAAGGCUGAGGUGUUGGCCAAGUACGAAGACCAUACUGUGCUGUCUUGUGUAGCUGUAGCAAGAC